rnacentral:rRNA from 1 species
UACGUAGGGUGCAAGCGUUAAUCGGAAUUAUUGGGCGUAAAGCGCACGUAGGCGGCUUGGCAAGUCGGAUGUGAAAUCCCUCGGCUCAACCAAGGAAGUGCAUCCGAAACUGCCGAGCUUGAGUACUUAAGAGGAUCGCGGAAUUCCCGGUGUAGAGGUGAAAUUCGUAGAUAUCGGGAGGAACACCAGUGGCGAAGGCGGCGAUCUGGGAAGAUACUGACGCUGAGGUGCGAAAGCGUGGGGAGCAAACAGG